UAUGUUGCAGGUUGCAGUGAAAAUGCGUAUUUUGAUAGGGCCGACACGUUUUAUGCAUGAUGACUUUGUAUUUAUACGAUGAUAAAGUAUUGCCUUUUCUCAGUUACUUCUGAUUUUCAGCAAACAGGAAAUUUGUAUCAGUUUUGAGACGGAUAAAGGCUAUCAUGAAAGUGCUGUUCCUUUCCGUUACCUUCUUUGCCGCUGUCGUUGCUUGCAACGCAUACGCAGAGUCGACGUCCUGUUACACAGAUGGGACAGGGAAACAAGUUUGCAAAAAGAAUGUUGACGAGAAUGGAAAUUCUGCAUCCUCGUUUUCUUCAACUAAUGGUCAAACUGGACAAGUCUACGCUGGACCUUACAUGCCUCCUUUCAUGCCGUCUUUUAUGCCUCCUUAUAUGCCUUCCUACAUGCCUUAUCCUUACUAUGGGAGAUAAACAACGAAUUAAAAAGGCCGAAAGGAACGAAUUAACUCUGUAUUAUACAGCAGAAAUCAUCAGCAACUGAUUCCUGUCUACAUUUUCAAAUAUUGUAAUGUGAAUGAAAUAAAAAUAUGGAUUUCACAAAUAUUUUGUGAACACUCGCAGUUGAAG